CAGACCUAAUCAUUGGGCUCCUGCACCCAAAAUUUUUCUUAAUCCAACAUCGAGGUCGCAAUCUGCUUUGUCGAUAUGAGCUCUCAAAAACAAUUACGCUGUUAUCCCUAAGGUAACUUAAUCUUAUGAUCAUAAAUUAUGGAUCAAAAUAACAAACAUAAAUAAAUGAUAUAAUAAUGAAGAGUUUAUCUAUUCUUCAUGUCACCCCAACAAAACAUCAUCAUUAAAUAUAGAAAGACAACAAAAACUAUAUAAAAGUAAAAUGUCAAGCUCUAUAGGGUCUUCUCGUUCUAAAGAAGAAUUUAAGCCUUUUGACUCAAAAGUUAAAUUCAAAAAUUUAUUAAGAGACAGUCGAUUUCUCGUCAAGCCAUUCAUUCCAGCCACUAAUUAAGAGACUAAUGAUUAUGCUACCUUUGCACGGUCAAAAUACCGCGGCUCUUUAAAAAUACGCUCAGUGAGCAGGCCAGACCUCAAAAUAUAAACAAGAGGACAUGUUUUUGAUAAACAGGCGGAAAUCAAUUUUGCCUAGUUCCUUAUAAUAAGUUCACAAGGUAAAAAUUUCAUACAAAUAAAUAUACUAAUUCUAUCAUUAUUACAAAAAUUUUAAAAUUAAAUUAAUAAUCUUAAUAAAAAACCUAAAAUAUUUAUAAAAUCAAAAUAAAAAAUAAUGAACUAAAACGUAAUCUUAAAGAUAGCUGGUUUAAAGCUUACUAUUAUAUUUCUAUAAAAUAAAUUAUAGGUUAUUAACUUCAAAGCUUAUCCCUUAAAGAAUAAAUAAGUUAAUAUUUUUACUUAAAAAAUUAAAUAAAAACAAAUAACUUUAAAAAAUUAAAUUUUUUCUUAAGAAACUAGAUAUCUUGGGAAACGAUUAACAUCUCAUUUCUAUAAAUAAUUUAAUAAUAAUUAUGAUACAUUAACUAUAAAUUAUUUAUAAAUCAACCCAAAUCGAGACGAGUAAAAUAAAUACUAAAAUUUUGAUAAACCCUGAUACAAAAGGUACAAUAAAUAAAAUCUACUUAAAAAAAUUUAAAAUAAUAUUUCAUAAAACACUUACAUUACCAAUAAACUCUAA